rnacentral:rRNA from 1 species
AUUGAACGCUGGCGGCAGGCCUAACACAUGCAAGUCGAGCGGAUGAAGGGAGCUUGCUCCUGGAUUCAGCGGCGGACGGGUGAGUAAUGCCUAGGAAUCUGCCUGGUAGUGGGGGAUAACGUCCGGAAACGGGCGCUAAUACCGCAUACGUCCUGAGGGAGAAAGUGGGGGAUCUUCGGACCUCACGCUAUCAGAUGAGCCUAGGUCGGAUUAGCUAGUUGGUGGGGUAAGGGCCUACCAAGGCGACGAUCCGUAACUGGUCUGAGAGGAUGAUCAGUCACACUGGAACGGAGACACGGACCAGGCUCCUACGGGAGGCAGCAGUGGGGAAUAUUGGACAAUGGGCGAAAGCAUGAUCCAGCCAUGCCGCGUGUGUGAAGAAGGUCUUCGGAUUGUAAAGCACUUUAAGUGGGGAGGAAGGGCAGUAAGUUAAUACCUUGCUGUUUUGACGUUACCAGCAGAAUAAGCACCGGCUAACUUCGUG